GGAAUAUUGGACAAUGGGCGCAAGCCUGAUCCAGCCAUGCCGCGUGAUUGAUGAAGGCCCUAGGGUUGUAAAGCUCUUUCACCGGUGAAGAUAAUGACGGUAACCGGAGAAGAAGCCCCGGCCAACUUCGUGCCAGCAGCCGCGGUAAUACGAAGGGGGCUAGCGUUGUCCGGAUUUACUGGGCGUAAAGCGCACGUAGGCGGACUUUUAAGUCAGGGGUGAAAUCCCGGGGCUCAACCCCGGAACUGCCUUUGAUACUGGAAGUCUUGAGUAUGGUAGAGGUGAGUGGAAUUCCGUGUGUAGAGGUGAAAUUCGUAGAUAUUCGGAGGAACACCAGUGGCGAAGGCGGCUCACUGGACCAUUACUGACGCUGAGGUGCGAAAGCGUGGGGAGCAAAC
rnacentral:rRNA from 1 species